AUUGAACGCUGGCGGCAGGCCUAACACAUGCAAGUCGAGCGGAUGAAGGGAGCUUGCUCCUGGAUUCAGCGGCGGACGGGUGAGUAAUGCCUAGGAAUCUGCCUGGUAGUGGGGGAUAACGUCCGGAAACGGGCGCUAAUACCGCAUACGUCCUGAGGGAGAAAGUGGGGGAUCUUCGGACCUCACGCUAUCAGAUGAGCCUAGGUCGGAUUAGCUAGCUGGUGGGGUAAAGGCCUACCAAGGCGACGAUCCGUAACUGGUCUGAGAGGGUGACCAGUCACACUGGAACUGAGACACGGUCCAGACUCCUACGGGAGGCAGCAGUGGGGAAUAUUGGACAAUGGGCGAAAGCCUGAUGCAGCCAUGCCGCGUGUGUGAAGAAGGUGUUCGGAUUGUAAAGCGCUGUAAGUGGGGAGGAAGGGCAGUAAGUUAAUACCUUGCUGUUUUGACGGUACCAACAGAAUAAGCACCGGCUAACUUCGUG
rnacentral:rRNA from 1 species